GAUGAACGCUAGCGGCAGGCUUAAUACAUGCAAGUCGAGGGGCAGCAUGAGUGUAGCAAUACAUUUGAUGGCGACCGGCAAACGGGUGCGGAACACGUACAGAACCUUCCUUCGAGCGGGGAAUAGCCCAGAGAAAUUUGGAUUAAUACCCCAUAGUAAAUUGAAAAGGCAUCUUUUUAAUUUUAAAGAUUUAUCACUUGAAGAUGGCUGUGCGGCUGAUUAGGUAGUUGGCGGGGUAACGGCCCACCAAGCCUACGAUCAGUAACUGGUGUGAGAGCACGACCAGUCACACGGGCACUGAGACACGGGCCCGACUCCUACGGGAGGCAGCAGUAAGGAAUAUUGGUCAAUGGACGAAAGUCUGAACCAGCCAUGCCGCGUGGAGGAUGAAGGUCCUCUGGAUUGUAAACUUCUUUUAUCUGGGACGAAAAAGGGGCUUUCUAGCUCAACUGACGGUACCAGAUGAAUAAGCACCGGCUAACUCCGUGCCAGCCGCCGCCGUAA
rnacentral:rRNA from 1 species